AAUAAGCUAUUUAAGAGCGUACGGUGGAUGCCUAGGCUCUCAGAGGCGAUGAAGGACGUGAUAAGCUGCGAUAAGCUGCGGGGAUUGGCACACACAAUUUGAUCCGCAGAUUUCCGAAUGGGGAAACCCACUAUAUUGAAGAUAUAGUAUCCGUUAAGGAAGCAAACCCAGGGAACUGAAACAUCUAAGUACCUGGAGGAAUAGAAAACAAAAGUGAUUCCGCUAGUAGUGGCGAGCGAACGCGGAAUAGCCCAAACCAAAAUUGUUUCGGCAAUUUUGGGGUUGUAGGACCACGUUAUUGAAUGUUCAAUGAAUUAGAAUUCUUUGGAAAAAGAAACCAUAGAGGGUGAUAGUCCCGUACAAGUAAAGAGAAUUAUUCAUAGUGGUAUCCUGAGUAGCGCGGGACACGUGUAAUCCUGUGUGAAUCUGGCGGGACCAUCCGCUA
rnacentral:rRNA from 1 species